GACAUAAUGCAACUAGCACAAUCUAAUAAUCACCAAUUCCGUCACCACCAAAAGAGUUAAACACAGGGACACAUUUGAAGUCUCGGAGCCGGGUGUUGGUUCCGGUAGCGAUCGAGGGAAAUUAGUACCGAAGUCCGGGAUGGAAGAUGGCGAGAAAAGCUGUGUGUAUUUCUGCGGUGCCCGUACCGCAAACCGACACAGGUAGGUAGGAAGAAGAUUCUAAGGCCAACGGGAGAAGGGUUGUUAAGGAACUCGGCAAAUUGACCCCGUAACUUCGGGAGAAGGGGUGCUCUAGAGAUAGAGCCGCAGAGAAUCGGCCCAAGCAACUGGUUACCAAAAACACAGGUUUGUGCUAAAUCGAAAGAUGACGUAUACGAGCUGACGCCUGCCCGGUGCUGGAAGGUUAAGAGGAGAUGUGCAAGCAUUGAAUCGAAGCCCCAGUGAACGGCGGCCGUAACAAUAACGGUCCUAAGGUAGCGAAAUUCCUUGUCAGGUAAGUUCUGACCCGCAUGAAAGGCGUAAUGAUUUGGGCACUGUCUCGACAGCCCGCCCGGCGAAAUUGUAGUACCGGUGAAGAUGCCGGUUACCCGCGACAAGACGGAAAGACCCCAUGGAGCUUUACUGUAGCCUAAUAUUGGGUUUCGAUGUUGCAUGCACAGGAUAGAUGGGACACUGGGAAGCAAGUGCUUUGGCAUUUGUGGAGUGGCCGUUGGGAUACCAUCCUUGCGAUAUUGGAAUUCUAACCUGCGCCUUUGAAUCAAGGCGGGGGACAUUGUUAGGUGGGCAGUUUGACUGGGGCGGUCGCCUCCUAAAGAGUAACGGAGGCGUUCAAAGGUUCGCUCAGCUUGAACGGAAAUCAAGCAAAAGAGUGCAAACGCAGAAGCGAGCCUAACUGCGAGACUGACGGGUCGAGCAGUAACGAGAGUUGGAGUUAGUGAUCCGGUGGUAUGUGAGUGGAAAUGCCAUCGCUCAACGGAUAAAAGUUACCCUGGGGAUAACAGGCUGAUCUCCCCCAAGAGUCCACAUCGACGGGGAGGUUUGGCACCUCGAUGUCGGCUCAUCGCAUCCUGGGGCUGUAUUCGGUCCCAAGGGUUUGGCUGUUCGCCAAUUAAAGCGGUACGCGAGCUGGGUUCAGAACGUCGUGAGACAGUUCGGUCCCUAUCUGUCGUGGGCGCAGGAUAUUUGAUGGGAGCUGUUCCUAGUACGAGAGGACCGGAGCGGACGUACCUCUGGCGCACCAGUUGUUCUGCCAAGGGCAUAGCUGGGCAACUAUGUACGGAUCGGAUAAACGCUGAAAGCAUCUAAGCGUGAAGCCGACCCAAAGAUAAGAUAUCCCAUUGUUUCAAACAAGUAAGACCCCUUGAAGACUACAAGGUUGAUAGGCACGAUGUGUAAGUGGAGUGAUCCAUUCAGCAAGCGUGUACUAAUAGGUCGAGGGCUUGACC
rnacentral:rRNA from 1 species